rnacentral:lncRNA from 9 species
UCUUCAUUGGCUCACAAGGGGCACGUGGCCAACGGGACCAGCAUCCUCCGCGCCCUGCUCCAGAGCCUGCUCCCGGUGGGAGCGCACGGCCGCGAGGCCGGGGCCCGGUUCUGCUGGGUCCUCUGGGGCCCUGGGGCAGGCAGGCCCUGGGGCCCGUGGCCGCGCUGGUGCAGGCGUCCCGGCCUGGAGGCGCUUCCUUCGCCGGCUGUGCCCGGGGCGAGCAGGGACGGGGGCCGCAACCAAGAUGGCGCGCGAGGCCCCUCGACGCCCGGCGGGUCCUUGUGACCUCUGUGAGCCCCGUUUUCCGUCACUUUUCCACCCAGAGCCUGGCAGGAAAGGCUGGCGGCCUCAGCCCCCGCGGGCGUUCUUGUGGUCCGCGGAGCGGCUCUCGGGAGCGGAGGGCAGAAGGGAAGCCGGGAAUGGAGGUCUCUGAGGAUCAGAUGGAAGCUUCUGGAGCUGCAGUGGGACUGAGGCUCGAGGGCCAACCGGAGGCCUCUGGAAGGAGCAGCAGCUGCCUGUGCAGACAUUGCCCGGGCCAGGGGAACAGCAGUGCCUGAGGUAGGCAGAGCUCCCGUCUUCACAGGGCUUGUCUUCCACCAGUGUGGGGGGAUAGGGUGGGGGCGGUGGUGGCAGAUGGUCGGUAAGCAAAUUAGUAAGCCAGUCGGAGGUAGCACUAAGUGCCAUGAACAGCGUUCCCGUCAUGGCUCAGCAGUAACCAACCCGACUAGUAUCCAUGAGGACCCGGCUUCGAUCCCUGGCCUCGCUCCGUGGGUUAAGGAUCUAGCGUGGCUGUGGCUGGCAGGUGUAGCUCUGAUUUGACCCCUAGUCGAGGAACUUCCAUGUGCAGCACCUGCGGCCCUAAAAAGCCAAAAACAACAAAACCAAAACCAUGAAAAAAGAAAAUGGAGAGAGAUGAGCGUGCGAUUGGGGUGAUUCUACCCUAAACUUGGUGGUCCAGGCCCUGCGAAGAUCAGGGAAGAACGUUCUGGGUUCAGCGGGCCCAGAGGAGUCCCCGAGGUGGGAACAUGGCUAAAGCAAAGGAGGAAGAGCGAGGAGAGGUCGG